AUUGAACGCUGGCGGCAGGCCUAACACAUGUAAGUCGAGCGGAUGAAGGGAGCUUGCUCCUGGAUUCAGCGGCGGACGGGUGAGUAAUGCCUAGGAAUCUGCCUGGUAGUGGGGGAUAACGUCCGGAAACGGGCGCUAAUACCGCAUACGUCCUGAGGGAGAAAGUGGGGGAUCUUCGGACCUCACGCUAUCAGAUGAGCCUAGGUCGGAUUAGCUAGUUGUUGGGGUAAAGGCCUACCAAGGCGACGAUCCGUAACUGGUCUGAGAGGAUGAUCAGUCACACUGGAACUGAGACACGGUCCAGACUCCUACGGGAGGCAGCAGUGGGGAAUAUUGGACAAUGGGCGAAAGCCUGAUCCAGCCAUGCCGCGUGUGUGAAGAAGGUCUUCGGAUUGUAAAGCACUUUAAGUUGGGAGGAAGGGCAGUAAGUUAAUACCUUGCUGUUUUGACGUUACCAACAGAAUAAGCACCGGCUAACUUCGUG
rnacentral:rRNA from 1 species